UUAUCGGGAAUAAUGAACUUUUACAUGUUAUUAAUGUUUCUGGUUAUGAUAUCUAAUUUUUUUUUCGACAAAAGAUGUAAAACCCCAUUAAAUUGCUGUUUACUUGUUCU
rnacentral:misc_RNA from 1 species